UUACGGUCAAAUCACGCUGAAAACACCGGUUCUCGUUCGAUCACCGAAGUUAAGCAUCGUUUUAGGCCAGGUCAAUGUACUUAGAUGGGGGACCGCUUCGGGAACACCUGGUACUGUAAG